ACUCCAUGAUUCUUAUUUUAUGAUUCUAUGAUACUUGUUUUCCAAACUUAAAAGCUUCUUGUGCCAGAUAGAUAAAUUGCAAACUGGCUUCUAUGGGAGCUUUGUUUUGAGACUACUUGUGCAAGUAAAGCUAUGCAUUUGUUUGACUGCCUAGCUACGUUGUAUAUGAAUGAAAACAAAGGUAGAACAAACAUUGGGAGUGAUAAUACCAUGCCAAAAUACAGCUGGCAGUGGUAACAGGCAGGGCCUCAGGCCCUGCUGCUGCACAAAUGCUAUUCCAUGUCUUCAGUGUACCACUCAACAGAUCUGUGGACGACACUGAAUUAGGAAGGAUAUUUGGCACUUAGAGUGCCAAAUGUAGAGCUGUAGAGCAUAAAUUCAAAGCUGAAUGUAGCACCAAGAGAAAUCUCACAGAGUUCAAGGAGAAGCAAUUACGGAUAGUUAUGAACUAUCUUGUCUGUACUCAGCAUUGGUGAGACCACACCUGGAAAUAGUGUCUAUUUUUGGACCCUGCGGUUCAAGAGGGAUAUGAAGAAAUAGGUGGCCCAGAGAAAAACACCUAAGCUGGCCAGGGGCCUAAAGGAAAGGACCCACAAUGACAAUCCAGGUUAUUUAGCCUGGAGAAGGGGAGGCCAAGGGGCACUCCAAAGCUGCCUACAACCACUUGAAGGGGAGUAACAAAGGUGAUGGAGUCAUGGAGCCAAAUCCUCCCAGAGAAGAAGCCACAAAUUGUGGCUUGGGAGGUUCACACUGGAUAUUAGGAAAAAUGCUUUCAUGAGAAGAUAGGUGCAUCCCUGGAGAGGUCACCCAGGGAGAGUGUGGGCUCUCUGUCCUCAGGGAUUUGCAGGAGAUGGGUGAGGAAAGCCACAGGUGACCUGACCUAGUGGUGGUGACCAUCUUGCUGCAAGCAGAAGGCUCCGGUAGUCCCAUCAAUGGGACUUGGCUCAGGGUUCAAAUGUGGAACAACCAGAAAAAUGCAUCAUAUUACUUUUUUCCUUCUGUUAACAGGCACUCCUGCAGUAAUAUAAAAAUAGUUAACUGAAGCGAGGUAUCACAGAGACUGAUGUGAUAAAGCAUACUGAUAGAAAAUAAAGAAUGGAAUAUGGGAUGAACAUUGACCUAACAAAUAAAAACGGAAAAUAAAAAAGAAGGGAAAUAACGAAUGGUGCGAAGCAAAGAGGGAGCGCUGAGAGCCAGGAGUGGGAAACUGGUGACAGAUGAGGCUGAUAAGGCAGACAGCCUAAAGGAAUUCUUCGCCCCAGUAAUCACAGAGGCAGCAGAAGGUAAUGUCCCAGGAACUGGGAUUUGUUUUCCUCAGGGAAGGAAGUAAAAUGUCAAAAGGUUUUACUCUUGCACUGCAGUGGAUAAUAAGGCAAUUAGUACUCUUAAAAGUCGUCAGAGCACCCAGACUGCAAAGAUAAAUCACAUCCUGGGAUAGCAGCGGGAGUGGGAGACUGUCGGAAAGCUUUUGUGGAGCGGUUGUGGUCACUUACCAAGGGUGGGAUUACUGAGGGUGGAUGUGAAGUUUGCACUAAAAACCGAGGAGGAGCACUGGACUACAGCAUCUAUAGGUUUGUGAGCUCAGCUUCUCUUCCACAGGAGAAACCAAACACUGAUUUGAAAGCAAAAAGCGACUGAAGACUGGCAGAAAACCUCACACUGCAACUGGGCUUUCAGCGUACUAGGAAGAUGCUUGCUUCCUUUCCCCACCGCUCCCUGCAGCUUCUUUGUGGGAUGAGGCUGAAGGUAAUCCUAUGCAGACAGAUUUGACCCAAAGGUCAGGAAGGCUUCACCGGAUUUUCUGUUGGAAAUGGAUUGUACUCUUUGCUGAUGCCACACAUUUCACUAACCCCCCCAUGUGCUGCUGUUUCCCUUGCACAUUUUUCACAUAGAGCCUCUGUCUGAACCACCUGAAGACUUGAAGUGACACAUUAUGAGUACUAAAAGUACUGUACUGUUACAUAUCAACUGCCCCAUUUCAUAAUGGGCCACAAGAACUGAAGAGGAAAAUGAAAUUUUCCAGAGAAAAAAGGAAAUGAAAAGAGACACUAAUUCUUUUGCUGGUUACCAUUCCAGAAGAGAAAUUGUGCCACUAGUUGUGCCGGACUUAUGGGAAUUUGGUAUAAAGCAGCAGCAGCUAUGCUGGUUCAAUCAUUUCAGAAGGACAUAUUGGCACAUCAGUGUUCUAAAAUGCCUUGGAUGCCCUUUCUGAAGAUCCUCUCUAAUGAAAGCUGUGAAAACUGAAAGAAAAAAGUCCUAAUUAAAGAAACACAUUCAUGAGGAGCUCUAUGUGAAAUGGAGGAACACAACGCAGCAUGGCCACUGCUCUCUGGAAUGGGCCAUGGAAGUGACCUGGAGUGCAUCUUCCCUUAUGAA